GCGUUUGCGAGUGUGUUCGCCCCGAAACGUGGGAUGUGUUUUUCUCUUGCUUUUCCUCGUUCUUCUUAUCCGCUCGGACGAUAACGCGUCGAUGUAGCUUUCCGUAUUUAUCGCCGCUUUCCCGUACGGCCGGCUCGUUACAUCGUUCGACGAACGGUGGGAACGACGGGCGCGCGGGUUAUCUUGAAAGAGUUUCUUUGUGGGUACCGACGCAACUUUGACGGAGGCGUGUCUAUGUCGACAGGCUACCAUUAAGCUGAGUUUUUCUGCCUUAAAUUCCCACGACUUUUUUCCAAGUCUGCGGCAACUCCGGUAAUAAUAUCGAACGUGGGUAUACGUUGUGCAUUCUUGGCAGAAAACACGGAGGUGCGCUAUAUAUAUCGGUUGGUCUUGCCACAGAGAAAGAGAGCGAGAAAGAGAGUUAAACACAUCAGUAGCUCUUUAAUCGUGGUCUGAAUGAAAGGAACAUCAUGAUCAGCCGAGACAACCGUAUUCGUAAUCACGCGCCGUACGUGAUUCUCAAGAGAUAUUUUCUCAAGGGAUGCGCGAGACAUGUUGCGAAAUUCAUCGGAGAAAAGAGUUGCAAUCUCUUUGCGAUUGAUCGUACGCUCCUGAACCCGGAAAUAACGCGUUUUCGUGCGCCGUACGGAAACUUUUGGACGCCGUUAUCGCGGGCAGUUAAGCGGAAUUGCGAAACGCUCGUCGUUCGGGCGGACGCGUGCCUGCCUCUUCCUGAAUCUAGCGAAGUACGAGCGUCUUUAUUGUCGCUAUUUGAUACAGCCGUUAUAUAUUCGCCCGCUCUGCUGGCGAAGCCACCACAGCGCACAAUAUAGUCCCGACAUAGAAAAAAAUUAUAGUUUAAAGUUUUUUGUAAUGUUUAAUUUAAAUUCGCUAUAGAAAUAACAUUUAAGAGUCUGAAUAUGUCGGUAUCGAGUGCACUUUCCUUCUUUUUGCUUUUAUUUUCAUAGUAUUACAGGAGAAAAUGAUAUUCAACUUUGAAUGUGUUCUUUGUAUUUUGGUUUAUAUAUAUAUAUUUGUAAUUGCACUCGGCAUAAUGAUUUAAACUGACGUGUUGCACCGUUCCCGAAAAACGAUAAGUGAACUAUUGUCGUUCGUAUUUUAUUGAUCACGUGAAAAUAUAUUUGCUCCUAAAUAAAGAAGACAUAAAUCGGAAUUUUUCUUUGUUAUCUAAAUCACUCCAAAAUGUGUUUUUAGUUUAGAUUAAGUUUUCUAAUUUGAAGUAACAUUAACAUCCAGCCACAUA